rnacentral:lncRNA from 1 species
UCUGGGUCCAUAUAUGCUUUACACUGUACAUUUAUACUUCUUGGAAGAAAGAGAGCACUCAUAUAUAUGGUCACAAUGAGAAACAUAUAUCAAUACUUUAUAUUUAUAAAAUAGAAAAAAAUCAGGAUGUACAUAUUUAUUUAUACCUGGUGUCAUGCAAAAGACUUUGACAAUAUCCUUAAACAUACAACUGACAUGCGAUACAUCAAGACCAAUGUCAGGUAUUUACCCAAGAAAAAUGAACAUUUAAAUUUACACAAAACAUAUGAAAACAAUUAUAAAACAACCCCAUCAAAAAGUGGGCAAAGGACAUGAACAGACACUUCUCAAAAGAAGACAUUUAUGCAGCCAAAAAACACAUGAAAAAAUGCUCAUCAUCACUGGCCAUCAGAGAAAUGCAAAUCAAAACCACAAUGAGAUACCAUCUCACACCAGUUGGAAUGGCAAUCAUUAAAAAGUCAGGAAACAACAGGUGCUGGAAAGGAUGUGGAGAAAUAGGAACACUUUUACACUGUUGGUGGGACUGUAAACUAGUUCAACCAUUGUGGAAGUCAGUGUGGCGAUUCCUCAGGGAUCUAGAACUGGAAAUACCAUUUGACCCAGCCAUCCCAUUACUGGGUAUAUACCCAAAGGACUAUAAAUCAUGCUGCUAUAAAGACACAUGCACACGUAUGUUUAUUGCGGCAUUAUUCACAAUAGCAAAGACUUGUAACCAACCCAAAUGUCCAACAAUGAUAGUCUGGAUUAAGAAAAGUGGCACAUAUACACCAUGGAAUACUAUGCAGCCAUAAAAAAUGAUGAGUUCAUGUCCUUUGUAGGGACAUGGAUGAAAUUGGAAAUCAUCAUUCUCAGUAAACUAUCAGAAGAACAAAAAACCAAACACUGCAUAUUCUCACUCAUAGGUGGGAAUUGAACAAUGAGAUCACAUGGACACAGGAAGGGGAAUAUCACACUCUGAGGACUGUUGUGGGGUUGGGGGAGGGGGGAGGGAUAGCAUCGGGAGAUAUACCUAAUGCUAGAUGACGAGUUAGUGGGUGCAGCGCACCAGCAUGGCACAUGUAUACAUAUGUAACUAACCUGCACAAUGUGCACAUGUACCCUAAAACUUAAAGUACAAUAAAAAAAAAAAAAGAAAACCAAAUACUACAUGUUUUCACUUGUAAGUGGGAGCUAAACACGAGUACAUGUGAACCCAAAGGAGAGAACAACAGUUACUGGGGCCUACUGAGGGUGGAAGGUGGGAGAAAAUUAAAGAUAAAAAAAACUAUGUAUCAUCUGGGCGCGGUGGCUCACGCCUGUAAUCCCAGCACUUUGGGAGGCCAAGGCAGGCAGAUCACAAGGUCAAGAGAUCGAGAUCAUCCUGGCCAACAUGGUGAAACCCCAUCUCUACUAAAAAUACAAAAAUUAGCUGGUCAUGGUAGCACACACCUGUACUACCAGCUGCUCGGGAGGCUGAGGCAGGAGAAUCGCUUGAACCUGGGAGGCGGAGGUUGCAGUGAGCCGAGAUCGCACCACUACAUUCCAGCCUGGCAACAAAGUGAGAUUCCAUCUCAAUAACAAAAUAAAACAAAACAAAACAACGACAACAACAAAAACUACCUAUCAGACACUAUGCUUAUUACCUGGGUGACGAAAUAAUCUGUACACCAAACUCCCAUGACAUGCAAUUUACCUAUGUAACAAACCUGCACAUGUAGCCCUGAACUUAAAACAAAAGUUAAAGACAUGAUUUAAACAAAUCAUAUUAUAGAUACUGAUAAAGCUAGUUAAGCAUUAUGCAGCAAAUAAUUAUUACACAAAGGCAAAAAUACAUUGAUUUAAAGUCUUUCUUAUUGACUAAAUAAAUAACAUGACUUUCUUAUUGCAAAUUAUACUUCAAUCACAGAAUUCUACUCCAUUUUAGUUUUCAAUGUUUUAAGAUGAGACAGAAGAGACAAGGAAUUUACAAUAUGAUACACUUGAAUUUAAGGCUUGGCUCUAUCAGUAAAUCUCAUGUGAGAUGGGGCAAGUUUAUUGAACCCUUUCUGUCUCAUUUUCUUUUGGGUAACAUUGGGAUGCUGUGAAUAUUAAGUUGGAAUAAUCAUAUCUAACUUGUCUGGUGCAUGUUAAAAGUGCCACAAAAGUUAGUUCUCUUUUCCAAUUUUUUGUGGCAUUUAUUGGAUACCAGACUAGUGGCAUUUAUUGGAAACUACUUUUGAAGUAUAUACCAUAUAUAUAUAUAUUUUUUUUUUCUCUUCCCUGUAUUCAUUUGUAAAAGCCUUGCUAAUUAUUUUUCAAUUAUACUCUUACAAGUCAAUAGUAGAAAUAGAUUCUUUUCCAUUAAAAAGUAUAUCAAGGAUAGAGAAAAUGAACUAGCAAUUUGGAUGAAGAAAACAGUUCUAAGCCUAAAUUAAACCAAUUGCUGGGCAUACCUGUUUCCUUGAAAGUCUGAGGUAAUUAUGCCGCUUCCUGGUGGUAAAGAACUGAUGAUGUGAUUUUAUUUUGAAUAAUCUUUGAGGGAAAAACCAUACUUUUUCAGCAUUUUCUCAUCUUAUCUAUAUACAAUGGCAACAGAUUUAGGUAACAAGCUCUUUAGGAACUGGUCUUGUAAAGUUAACUCUAAUAAACUAAAUGUCAAUGUGAUAAAAACAAUCCUUACUAAGGAAAAAAAUCUACUUUAUGUCAGUUCUGAAAAAUAUGCUUUGUUGCAACUUGGAGACAUUUUUUUGGUACACUCUUGAGGUCCAUUCACUUAGCUUUUACAUAACACAAUCUCCCAGGGAGAGUUUGGGUGAAAUAACUACAGUAUUUCUCUCAGUAGAGGCUGGCGAUGAAGCACAAGAUAAACUUGUGAUUGUUUUAUUUCAUGAUGAGCACUUUUCUUCAAAAUAUGCAGCUUGCAGAAAUCUGAGGAAAAAGGGCACUUUUCAUCACAUUCAUAGGUGACAAGGAUCCAGGAUCCAAGUUCGACAAUGGGAGGAUGACGGGCUCAUUCCAGCCACAUGACAUAUUACAGAAAAUACUGUAACAACCAUUAUUUAAAUGUCAAAAAUGGACUCGACAGGCACAGGGUAGGUAAGAUGGAUCCUAAACAUAGCAAACACUGGGAGACAACACUCUUUAAUUUUGCUACUCCUCCAGCUAUCGUCCCAAGCCCUUUUGUUGUAUGGCAGAGCUACUGACCUCCGCUCUAACAGU